AACGAACGCUGGCGGCAUGCCUAACACAUGCAAGUCGAACGAACCCUUCGGGGUUAGUGGCGCACGGGUGCGUAACGCGUGGGAAUCUGCCCUUUGCUUCGGAAUAACAGUUAGAAAUGACUGCUAAUACCGGAUGAUGUCUUCGGACCAAAGAUUUAUCGGCAAAGGAUGAGCCCGCGUAGGAUUAGGUAGUUGGUGGGGUAAAGGCCUACCAAGCCGACGAUCCUUAGCUGGUCUGAGAGGAUGAUCAGCCACACUGGGACUGAGACACGGCCCAGACUCCUACGGGAGGCAGCAGUGGGGAAUAUUGGACAAUGGACGCAAGUCUGAUCCAGCAAUGCCGCGUGAGUGAUGAAGGCCUUAGGGUUGUAAAGCUCUUUUACCAGGGAUGAUAAUGACAGUACCUGGAGAAUAAGCUCCGGCUAACUCCGUGCCAGCCGCCGCGGUAA
rnacentral:rRNA from 1 species